rnacentral:rRNA from 1 species
GACAGAGGUGGCAAGCGUUGUUCGGUGUCACUGGGCUUAGAGCGUGUGUAGGCGGCAAAGUAAGCGCUUUGUGAAAGCCCCCGGCUCAACCGGGGAAUUGCUUGGCGAACUGCUUUGCUUGAGGCAAGAAGGGGUGCGGGGAACUCUUGGUGGAGCGGUGGAAUGCGUAGAUAUCAAGAGGAACGCCGGUGGUGAAGACGCUGCACUAUACUUGUCCUGACGCUGAGACACGAAAGCGUGGGGAGCAAACGGG